rnacentral:rRNA from 1 species
UACGGGGGGAGCAAGCGUUGUUCGGAUUUACUGGGCGUAAAGGGCGCGUAGGCGGCCAGCACAAGUCAGUUGUGAAAUCUCCGAGCUUAACUCGGAAAGGUCAACUGAUACUGUGCGGCUAGAGUGCAGAAGGGGCAACUGGAAUUCUUGGUGUAGCGGUGAAAUGCGUAGAUAUCAAGAGGAACACCUGCGGCGAAGGCGGGUUGCUGGGCUGACACUGACGCUGAGGCGCGAAAGACUAGGGGAGCGAACGGG